AGACCCGAAACCCGGUGAUCUAGCCAUGGGCAGGUUGAAGGUUGGGUAACACUAACUGGAGGACCGAACCGACUAAUGUUGAAAAAUUAGCGGAUGACCUGUGGCUGGGGGUGAAAGGCCAAUCAAACCGGGAGAUAGCUGGUUCUCCCCGAAAGCUAUUUAGGUAGCGCCUCGUGAAUUCAUCUCCGGGGGUAGAGCACUGUUUCGGCUAGGGGGCCAUCCCGGCUUACCAACCCGAUGCAAACUGCGAAUACCGGAGAAUGUUAUCACGGGAGACACACGGCGGGUGCUAACGUCCGUCGUGAAGAGGGAAACAACCCAGACCGCCAGCUAAGGUCCCAAAGUCAUGGUUAAGUGGGAAACGAUGUGGGAAGGCCCAGACAGCCAGGAUGUUGGCUUAGAAGCAGCCAUCAUUUAAAGAAAGCGUAAUAGCUCACUGGUCGAGUCGGCCUGCGCGGAAGAUGUAACGGGGCUAAACCAUGCACCGAAGCUGCGGCAGCGAACGUAUCACUUAAAGCGAUUCAGCGGGUUACGAUUGACGGAGCGAAGCGACGUCAAAGCGUAUACAAAGUCGAGUCGGUUUAAGGAUACGUUCGUUGGGUAGGGGAGCGUUCUGUAAGCCUGUGAAGGUGGCCUGUGAGGGUUGCUGGAGGUAUCAGAAGUGCGAAUGCUGACAUAAGUAACGAUAAAGCGGGUGAAAAGCCCGCUCGCCGGAAGACCAAGGGUUCCUGUCCAACGUUAAUCGGGGCAGGGUGAGUCGACCCCUAAGGCGAGGCCGAAAGGCGUAGUCGAUGGGAAACAGGUUAAUAUUCC
rnacentral:rRNA from 1 species